rnacentral:rRNA from 1 species
UACGUAGGGGGCAAGCGUUAUCCGGAAUCACUGGGUGUAAAGGGUGCGUAGGCGGUACGGCAAGUCAGAUGUGAAAACCCGGGGCUCAACCUCGGGAGUGCAUUUGAAACUGUCGGACUAGAGUGCAGGAGAGGAAAGUGGAAUUCCUAGUGUAGCGGUGAAAUGCGUAGAUAUUAGGAGGAACACCAGUGGCGAAGGCGACUUUCUGGACUGUAACUGACGCUGAGGCACGAAAGCGUGGGGAGCGAACAGGAUUAGAUACCCUGGUAGUCCACGCCGUAAACGAUGAGUGCUAGGUGUCGGGGGUCAAACCUCGGUGCCGCAGUUAACACAAUAAGCACUCCACCUGGGGAGUACGAUCGCAAGAUUGAA